rnacentral:lncRNA from 1 species
UUUGUUUUGGUAUGGCGUUGUUUGAAUCUGAUGAUGUUGUGGAGUGUUUACUUCCCUGCUAUUGUUAAGAUGACUAAAGAGCUGUGUUUUGAGUGUGGUUCAUAAAACUUUGUGUGUUCUACAUUUUCGGAACACAUGUCCAUGACUACUGCUAGUUUUUGCUUGUAUGUUAUUUGGUUUUGGAUUAGGAUGCAUAUUGUGGCUAAAUAAUACGCUAUACUGUUCCCAGGUUAUGAUUUGC